rnacentral:tRNA from 1 species
GGUUGUGGCUCAGUGGUAGAGUACUUGCCUAGCAUGUGUGAAGCACUGGGUUCGAUCCUCAGCACCA